rnacentral:rRNA from 1 species
CAGUAGGGAAUCUUCCACAAUGGGCGAAAGCCUGAUGGAGCAACGCCGCGUGUGUGAUGAAGGGUUUCGGCUCGUAAAACACUGUUGUAAGAGAAGAAUGACAUUGAGAGUAACUGUUCAAUGUGUGACGGUAUCUUACCAGAAAGGAACGGCUAACUACGUGCCAG